UACGAAGGGAGCUAGCGUUGUUCGGAAUCACUGGGCGUAAAGCGCACGUAGGCGGACGUGUCAGUCAGGGGUGAAAUCCCGGAGCUCAACUUCGGAACUGCCUUUGAUACAGCACGUCUUGAGUCCGGAAGAGGCGAGUGGAAUUCCUGGUGUAGCGGUGGAAUGCGCAGAUAUCAGGAGGAACACCAAUAGCGAACGCAGCUCGCUGGGACGGUACUGACGCUAAGGCGCGAAAGCGUGGGGAGCGAACAGG
rnacentral:rRNA from 1 species